rnacentral:tRNA from 1 species
CGGGGCGUGGCGCAGUCUGGUAGCGCACCUGCUUUGGGAGCAGGGGGUCGGAGGUUCGAAUCCUCUCGCCCCGA